GAAAGCAGCUGUAAGCAACAAGGCUGAAGUCUCUGCUGCUCCACAACCUACCUGCCAGUUUGGUCACAGGUAUCUCCCAAGAUACACAAUCACCUGGAGUGGAAGCUUCAGGACAACAGGGCUGGGAACCUGCGUGUUUCAGAUAAGAUACCUCUUGGAUACCUCUUGAUUCACUCUUCUUCCUGCCACUGUGGUGAGGAUCAUUGAGUCUUUGACCAGCUUUAUGCAGUUGCAUGAAUACCCUUUAUGGAGGUUACCAAAUCCAGCAAAGUCAUCUUCCUACUAGAAAAAGACAGCAUCUCCUCAUCCUGCAUUCACUACAUGGUGGAACAAUGGGUGCUCAUGAGAGAUCGGGGGAAGAAAAGCAAAGAACCUGGUGUUGCCUCUUUGGGUUUUUCUGAGUUGGGAGUUUGGAGGCUGAAACCAAGAGGUCAGCUGGGACUGUGGUCUCAUCUGAGGCUUGACUGGGGGAGGAUUCACUGCCAAGCUCUCAUGGUGUUGGCAGCAUGCAGCUCCCUGAUGGCUGUCUGAGGGAUGGCCCCCAUUUCUGCUGGCUGUCAGCUCCUCAACCUGCAGCCCUCUCCAAAUGAGAGCUCAAACAACAAGGCAGCUUGCUUCUUCAAAUCCACCAAGGGAUAGUCUUCUUAAGACACUGCAG
rnacentral:lncRNA from 10 species